UAUCACCAUUAUUUCCCAUUCAUAGCCAACGACUUGGAUGGGGGCGUUUUCUCCUUCAAUUCCUCACUGAAAUGGCGUCAUCAAAUGUUUAUUCUUCUUCCGUUACAGUUACACCUUAAAUGAUAUUAACAUCCGCAAUCAAUUGCAUGGCAGUAGUUCGAAAGGAUGUUUUACUAUAUAAAACAUCAAAUCUCUUGCAAGGAUUGGUAUGUUUCUGAGUUUCACAAAACUUAAUUUGUCAAAGUCCUGCUGUGAUAAUCCCCAAGAAAGGUUUCAUGUGGCUUGAAAAGAUGCGGGUAUCUAUUUCAUCCUAUGAAUAUUGUGAAGCAUUAGGUACUGGAUUGAGCAGAAAAAAAAGUUCCAAGCAAUGGGUUUCGACCCUAACAGAUGUUCAUGUUGAGCCAUGUCAAUGGCCAAGGUAAUUGUUUGCGGUACAUCCUUGGUUGGAGAAGAUCCUUCAACUCUAUUAAAAACGAAGAAGAACUUUAUCCGCAAUCACAAACGCUGCUCCAUCCUUCAACUGAUCACUACUUUUUUUGAUGCACUGUUUUUUUUUUUUGGUUUAGCACGCGAAUGUCAAGAUAUGCUAAUUUGUAAGUUGAAAUCCUUUUUUUCUUCGCAAUGCCUAGGUUUCACAAGGCCAAUUUAUCAAUUAUUAAUUGAAUUCAGUUUUAGGUUUUUACUUUUUAAGAAAACAUGGAAAAAAGGAAGCAAAAGCCUUUGUGGUGUCCGUGGAUGGAAGUUGAAUGAAGUUCAGUGUCCUUCAUUUAAUAUCUAUAACAUUUUCAUUAACAAUUUAUUUGUUGGAUUAGCCGGAGAAAGAGGCAAAAAGUACAGAGCGCCUCAAAAGGAGGCUCACAAAUCCCAGAUCUGUAAUUUCGUUAAGUUUUUCUCCGUCAUUCCUUUAAUCAUUUUAUCAAUUUGAGUUUUGCUUCCCAUUUAGUUGUAUAUCUAUUUCUACUUAGCACUUGCUUUGGUAGUUUACAUUGAUUUGAAAUAACUCACUGCUCAUAAGGAAAGUUUUGUUUGCGAAAACUGCUUAUUUUUGUAAUUUUCACGUGUUUUCUUUUCUUAUUAGCGUCAAACUUCCCACAGGCUACUCUAUUAAGGCAACAAAGCCCAAUCAAACAAGUUUAAAAAUUUUCAUGGCGUCUUUAUUGAUUUGUUAGCAUUGUAGGUGCUCUAAAACUCAGUAUGCCUGUACAAUAUUUCGUUGUAACUCUAUACAAUCUUAUUUUGCUUGCACAGUAAACUAAAAUGAUGGUUUUUGUGGACACAUGUGAACCACUUUUUUCCAUAAUCCCAUGAAGUUUUACUGAUGUUGUUGCCUGUUCGUCAUUGAUGGAUGAGAAUGACAAAAAAAGAAAAAUAAGAACUCAAGGAAAUCAAGUUUUUAAUUGGACAGAAAGAGUACUUGCAAAUUACACCAUGCCCAGCUUCCCAAAGGCGAUGUGCACGUCGUCAAACCAUGACCUUCAAAAACAAGAGCGCUGCAUAAUGUGAGAAUUGGGAGGUCAAUCGGAUAUAUGAAAUUUUGGUCUCGUGCCCCACACUCAGCUACAAAACAUGGCUUAUGCUUUGGGAUUUGAUAUACACAGCCGGCAACACUACUUGAAUCCGUUGAAUUGCGGCGAGGAUUAAAUGCAAAGACUGAAAGCAUGGACCAGGAUCCUAUUGAAAUGAGCCGUAAAUAAAAAGCAGCCGGACGACAAGUGAGACCCGAUCUAUACAAAUUAGGAUCUUGAAGUUUUUUUUUCAUGUCAUCGUUAAAAUGAUCAUGUUCGAACACGACUUUCCUUUUCAACUGUGUUUUUAUAUAUCUUUGUUGUUGCAUAU